AACAUAAAAAUUCCAUUAAUGUGAAGUAGAUCGCUAUAUCAAUAUAAUAGAGGCUUCGCGUUUUUCAAGCUUGCGAAACGUAUCGAUACUCGUCACUCGUUGCGCGUCACGUUCGUUCGCGCGCGUCUCGCUAUACUUUUCGUAAUAUAGAUCGAGAAGAGAAUUUCUUCGAACGAGUAUCGAUCGUUGCGCCGAAUACAGCGUAUCGUUAAUUGGCCAUUCUCAAAAGCAAAAGUUAUUAUUGGCGAAAAUAGUAGCAAGUGGUCGAGCAAAGUAAAGGAAAGAACAAAGAGAAAUUAAAGAGAUGAUGGAUAAAGAAAUAAUAUACGCAUACAGGUGCGGGUUCCCAAGCUUCCGAUUGUAACUCGACCAAGAGCAAACAAACUGUGAACCGAGAGAGAGGGGGGAGGGAAAAAAAAAGAAGAGAAACAAGAGAGAACGAAAAAUAUAA